GAUUAACGCUGGCGGCGUGCAUAACACAUUCAAGUUGAACGGAGUGUAGCAAUACACUUAGUGGCGGACGGGUGAGUAACGCGUGAGCAAUCUACCCUUGGGUACGGAAUAACAACCGGAAACAGUUGCUAAUACCGUAUAAAACAGCAGUAUCGCAUGGUACAACUGUCAAAGAGAAAUUGCCAAAGGAUGAGCUUGCGUCCGAUUAGAUAGUUGGCGGGGUAACGGCCCACCAAGUCGACGAUCGGUAGCCGGACUGAGAGGUUGAACGGCCACAUUGGAACUGAGAUACGGUCCAGACUCCUACGGGAGGCAGCAGUGGGGAAUAUUGGGCAAUGGGUGAAAGCCUGACCCAGCGACGCCGCGUGAGGGAAGAAGAUCUUCGGAUUGUAAACCUUAGUCAACAGGGAAGAAGAAAGUGACGGUACCUGUGGAGGAAGCCACGGCUAACUACGUGCCAGCCGCCGCGGUAACAC
rnacentral:rRNA from 1 species